ensembl:lncRNA
UGGCCCAUCUCCAGCUUGGACUGCCAGAGGAAAUGUCCGCGUUUUUCAGUGCACAAAACCAUUAUCCGAAUAUUGAAUACUGAAUUUCACUUAACUGAAAGGCUUGAAAAUAGGUCAGAAACAGACCAACAGGGGACGCCGUUUGCCAUUGCAGCCUCAAGUCACGUUAUUACUCGUCUUCCGCUACAUGCUCGCGCUAAACUAAUUUACAGGUUUAAACGACGUAGGUUGACGAUCAUCUUCAUCAUCAUUAUUAAGACACUGCGGCCCCACCACAGUGUACAAGGCAGAGGUCAUGAUGGCGUCACUGUGGGAUCAGACUCAACGGGAGAGGAUGAUACCCUCAAUAAACCCGUCCAGGUGAAAGUUGUAAAAAUCCCGGGAAUGCUACAGCAGUGUGUUACGAGAACCAUCAGAGACAGAGAAAACCCUUUACGGGAGAAGCACGGAUCCAGAGCAGGGUGGGUGUGUCCUGCUUACCAGCACUCCUUCAGAUCAUCCGACCAUCUCACUUGCCAAAAUUCCACUCAACCGGAAUUUUGAUCCCUCACAGUGCUCCGGGAGAUCCGGGAUCGUGCUAUCCUCGGGGCCCGUCAGCGGAUACGAGCCCUGGGCUGUGAAACCCAAUCAGGACGUCCUGGACAGAUGUGAUGGGUUAAAGUAGACAGGGUCACUGGUCCAUUACAAAAUAUGCACAUCUGUGAGAGUCGUCCAGUGAUGCAUCUAUUUGAUCAUCUAAAAUCAUUUGUCAUAAAAGGCACAACCUCAUUAUCUUGGCAGUUUAUUGUUUGAUUAGCAUAGCAUGUGGCAUAACAGCAGCAUAGCGUGUAGUCUCACUGUUUAAUCUCUAAUGACACACACCUGAGCAUCAAACAUACAGUUUAGGAUGCUCAAAUUGGUGUAAUGUUUAACUGGAAAAAGAAAGCAAAUGUUAUUUAGUUCAUUUAAAGUAUGUAGGAUGAAUGAGUUCUAGUUCUAGAAAUCCCUGUGCUGUUUGCAGUGUCCUUGGGAUUAAACAUACACUCCCCAUCAAUUGGAAGCUCACUUAAGAUGGCUGAAUACCCCGUGAAACCCAUUUUGUUGGCUCUAUCGAACCCCUUCUCUGAGAAACAGCUGAACUGAAUCAUCCAAUGCAGUGGGUUUAAAGAACGGCAACAUUUCUCCCCUCACCUCCUGUAGGCAAAGGCACACUGCGAGUAAUCGCUACCGUUGUUAUCCUCUGGUUUCUAAUUAAAAAGUCUGUUCAAAACACAGAGCCAAAAGCUUGAGAAGUGUGUGCGUGUGUGUGUGUGUGUGUGUGUGUGUGUGUGUGUGUAAUAAGUACAUAAAUCUAGCCUGACUGAAACUGCUGCUGUGGGUGCAAAUGAAUUGAACUGAUCACUGAGAUGAGUGUAAUGAUGUGAUGAAGGUCGGAUUGUGUGUGUGUGUGUGUGUGUGUCCUGUGGGGCUCUUUAUGGCUCUAAACAGAUUAAUGAGGCCUGUGUGUUAGAGCCAGAGCUGUGGGACCACACACACUCUCUUCCACAGAUAACCACACUUCCUCUCUUUCUCAAUCUCUCAUCUCACUCUUUCUUGCUCUCAUAAAACAGUCAUUUAUUACAUGGAUAAUUGUUGUAGUAAUCAAUCUGUUAGUAGCAAUUAUUACAUUAUUAGACCCAAUUGUUUACUGCUUUUACAGUCGGUCUCUUUAUAGGUUUGGUUUAAACUGAUGUUACAGCAUCUUUGACCUUGAUGAAACUGUGAAAUAUUCAAAAUUGGUUUGAACAACAAAAGUAGUGUAGCUGCACAGUGUCUGCUCAUUAAAACAGGACACGUUGUUUUUUUGGAGAUGACUGUAUAGACCAGAGAUAAGAGCAUUGCUUUGGUUUCAUGCCUCAUUCGGAGUAACACAGAAUAAUGGGUCUCAUAGAUAAACAUAGAAGAAUAUGUUAUUCCUCUGUGGUUGCUCUUUCAAAGCUUGGGAGAGCUUUCAGAGCUUUCAGGUAUGUUUCAAUUAUUAAGCAG